rnacentral:sRNA from 1 species
GCCCAGGGGUUGGCGUUGAGCCGCAGGAACUCGAGCGCUGGCAGGUCAGCCAGCGCCUCUCCCGGCAGCGAGGCCAGGCUGUUGUUGAACAGCUCCAGCAUCCGUAUCCCAGCUAUGGACCCAAGAGGAUCCUCUAAUCUCCUGCCUCCACCUCUUGAUUUCUGAGAUUUCAGGCUGUGUUACCAAAACAGUUUUAUGUGGUUCUGGGGAUCAGACCCAGGCUUUCAAACAAGCUAGACUGCACCUUAUCAACUGAGUCUGAGUCCUGAACUUCAAAACCCUCAUCUUCUAACCGAUUUCCUAUGGAGAAAGCUACGAAAUUGAGGUGAAUCUAGAGCCUGUCAAGAUGGUACUCAAUCACCACACCAGGCCAGUGCCACCUCACCUGCCUGAUUCUUAAAUUUAGAGUGUAUUCCGGUCCCUUUCAGAUACCAGUGACUUCCCAGUGCAGGUGGGGGAAGCCUGAGAAGUCUGCCUUCCGAGGAGAUGAUGAUGAGGCUGCCUGAAGACUUGAAGAUUUGGGAGUCAGAUGGGGCUCUGACAUGAACUGACUGGGAUACUUGGGAAAAGCCAUUCUGCCUUUCUGUGCCUGGGAUUCUUCCUGUAAAAUGUGGUGAUGAGAUGGA